rnacentral:rRNA from 1 species
UACAGAGGGUGCAAGCGUUGUUCGGAUUCAUUGGGCGUAAAGGGUGCGUAGGCGGUCGCGCAAGUCGGAUGUGAAAUCUCAGGGCUCAACCCUGAAACUGCAUUCGAUACUGCGUGGCUAGAGUGCUGGAGGGGAGACUGGAAUUUACGGUGUAGCAGUGAAAUGCGUAGAUAUCGUAAGGAAGACCAGUGGCGAAGGCGAGUCUCUGGACAGCAACUGACGCUGAGGCACGAAGGCCAGGGGAGCAAACGGG